rnacentral:rRNA from 1 species
ACGAACGCUGGCGGCGUGCUUAACACAUGCAAGUCGAACGGAAAGGCCCUGCUUUUGUGGGGUGCUCGAGUGGCGAACGGGUGAGUAGCACGUGAGUAACCUGCCCUUGACUUUGGGAUAACUUCAGGAAACUGGGGCUAAUACCGGAUAGGAGCUCCUGCUGCAUGGUGGGGGUUGGAAAGUUUCGGCGGUUGGGGAUGGACUCGCGGCUUAUCAGCUUGUUGGUGGGGUAGUGGCUUACCAAGGCUUUGACGGGUAGCCGGCCUGAGAGGGUGACCGGCCACAUUGGGACUGAGAUACGGCCCAGACUCCUACGGGAGGCAGCAGUGGGGAAUAUUGCACAAUGGGCGGAAGCCUGAUGCAGCAACGCCGCGUGCGGGAUGAAGGCCUUCGGGUUGUAAACCGCUUUCGCCUGUGACGAAGCGUGAGUGACGGUAAUGGGUAAAGAAGCACCGGCUAACUACGUG